rnacentral:rRNA from 1 species
UGCCAGCAGCCGCGGUAAUACGGAGGGUGCAAACGUUAAUCGGAAUUACUGGGCGUAAAGCGCGCGUAGGCGGUUUGAUAAGUGGGAUGUGAAAGCCCAGGGCUUAACCUUGGAACUGCAUUCCAAACUGUCAGGCUAGAGUAUGGUAGAGGGAGGUAGAAUUUCCUGUGUAGCGGUGAAAUGCGUAGAUAUAGGAAGGAAUACCGAUGGCGAAGGCAGCCUCCUGGACCAAUACUGACGCUGAGGUGCGAAAGCGUGGGGAGCAAACAGGAUUAGAUA